rnacentral:lncRNA from 1 species
GGGCGCGCUGCUGCCGCUGCUGCGGGAGCCCGGCCUCAACCUCCGCGUGGUGCAGCUCUUCCGCGACCCCCGCGCCGUCCACAACUCCCGCCUCAAGGCCCGGCAGGCGCUGCUGCGGGAGAGCAUCCAGGUGCUGCGCAGCCGGCACCGCGCCGAGCCGCGGGGGACGCUCCGCCACCCGCACCAGCAGCUGCCCGGCGUGCUGGGCGGCGGGCGGGCGCCGCAGCACCGCGCCGAGUUUUUCCUCGGCGGCGCCCUGGAGGUGAUCUGCCAGGCCUGGCUGCGCGACCUCCUCCUGGCCCGCCGCGCCCCGGCCUGGGUCCGCCGCCGCUACACGCAGCUGCGCUACGAGGACCUGGUGCGGGAGCCCCGCGCCCAGCUGCGCCGCCUGCUCCGCUUCGCCGGGCUGCCCGUGCCGCCCGCGCUGGAGGACUUCGUGCUCAACAUGACCCGCGGCGCCGCCUACUCCUCCGACCGGCCCUUCCUCAUCUCCGCCCGCGACGCGCGGGAGGCCAUCCAUGCCUGGCGGGAGCGCCUCAGCCGGCAGCAGGUGCGGCAGGUGGAGGCCGCCUGCGGCGAGGCCAUGAGUCUCCUCGCCUACCCGCUCAGCGCCGGCGACGCCCGGUAGCGCCCGCGCCCGACGCCGGGUGAGGGCCGGGCUGGGGGCCGCGGCUGCGGCGGGCGGUCCCGAGGGCGGACGGGCGCUGUGGGGCCGAGCUGGGCGCGGGGUGCCGUUCGCCUCACGGGCCGGGCGCUCCCGGCCCGCUGGCGCAGACCAGCCUCGCCUCAGGAGCAGGCGGUGCUGCAGGGCUCAGGGCCCUGCUUCCCGCUGCUGGCUUUGGUGGGGCUGCGCUUCCUCGUGGGACCGUGGCCACCGCUGAGAGGGCAUGGAGAAUGCUUUGUUUAAGAGAAGGGUUUGGUAAGAGGUGUCCUCUGGGCACAGCACCUCACGUGGAAUGGUGACCGCACACAAAGCACAGGUGUUCUUCAAGAAAACUGCAUUGAAACUUAAAAAUCUCCCAGAUGAAGACUCUCAGCAAGGAACUAGAGGGCUUCAAAGGUGAUGCUGCAGGAGCAUCACCAUUCCCGAGCACUGAAGCAUGCUGGGCUCUCAUAUUGCUACUGAAACAUGUACUGUGAAGUGUGAAACACUUGAGUGAAGUUGGCUGCAGACUCCACUGGAAGCCCAGGCAGGCAGGAGUGUGCCGGCCGCUGGGGAGGGCUUGGCUCUCCUGCUCCCGACCGACUGGGUGGCUCCACAGGGAUGGUUGCUGCCAGGACGGGUUGCUGAUGCUCGGGGUGGGGGGGCACAGGCUGAGGGGCGGGGGCCGUGUCAAACCCCAUCCAUCAUUCAGAGCAGUGGGGUAAGCAUUAACCUGCUUAUGUGUUUUGAAGAUGUUUGUGGCAGAAAUCUUUGCAUUUCUAAAGAAAUCUGUAAUUCCUUUUAAAGUAGGGAUUCUUUUUUAAUAUAUUGAUAUAUUUUGGUGGUGAUACUCAUGUGAGAUACCCGUGACUAACAUGUUACUUGGGGACACACUUGGGGGUGACUGUAACUGGAAGGCGAACGCUCAAUGUUUCCAUUUGGUUUUCUUAGCCAGAUGAGAGAACCACUUUUCUUCCCUUGCUUCCGGGCUGACACAUUGUGCCGUGCACAGGGUCCUCCUGGUCACAUCCCUUCCGAACAAUAACAUCCUCUCAGCUGGCAAGUCCUGGACAAAAGCAAAUGUUUCCUAAGAGGCCAAGACAAAAUUAAUCGCGAAGUUCCCAAAUAAAAAAUUGUAUUAAAAAAGAAAGAAAAAAACCCCAAACUUAAGUUUCAUUUGGGUUUUUAAAAAUAUUUUUUCCUGUAAAUAUCCUGCAACUUGUAUGAGAAGGGUGUGCAUGCGUGUGUGUGUAUAUAUCUGUGAGUACCUCUUUAUUUCUUAAUCUGGAGAUAGAAGGUUCAGUUGUAACUUAGGGAUGCAGGAUUGUGACUUCUUGGCAUCUGCUUUUGGGUCCAUUACAGUCUGGUAGCGUUUAAAUGGCCCCACAAGAGUACACAGGGUUAUAGGGAUAUUUACAUGCAGUCCUCAAAACAAACUGAGAACAUGAACUUCAAACAGAAUAAUGUGGGAUCAGGAAGAAAGAAAUAUUUAUAUAAAGUGUUGGAAAACAGCGUUUCAAAUACAUUAUGUUAUCAUGGAGGAAACAUUUGGAUUGCAUUGUAGGUGUUCGUGCUCUGAAUAUUGUGCUGUAAAACCCAUCAGUGUGUUAGGAUGAACCUUCUGUUACUUCAGCUCUUUUUCUUCCUUGCCCCUCCCACCUGCAAGUACGCUGGCACAAGAAGCCGGUUUCUUUCAUUGUCUGACAGGGAAAUGUAGCCAUAAAAAUGCGUUUGAGUAAAUCUACCCAUUUCACAGUAGCCUGCUUCAUACAAUUCUGCAUCCUUUGGUUUCUGCUUGAAGCAGAAAUUUCAGGGGCUCAUUUUAUGCUGGAACAACCCUUGGUAUGCUCUAAGGGAUGUUUUUGUACUCUCAGGCACUGUGAGAGCAAAAUUUGUCUCUGGAUGUUCUGCUGGUAUGUAUAGCAAUGGUAUUUGUAUGGAUGGACAAUACCUAUAUUAACGCCUUGAUAACCUAUGUUGGGUAACCUAUUUUGGAAGGCUUCUCUGGGAGUAUACCCAGCUUGGCUUGUACUGACAGGCUUGGGAAGAAAUUAAGAUUUUCUUGCAAGCCAAAAGACGAUACAGUACUUAUUUUCUUACAUCAUUUGGGAGAUUAAAAUCCGGUAUAUCUUGUUGAUUUGUUUUUAGCAAGUGGCAAUCACAGAUUUGUACAGUGCUACUGUUACACAUGCACUUCACCUCGACAGGGAAUCUCAUCUCACCUCACUGUUUCAGGUGGUAAAUGUCUUUCAUAAGAAGCUUCUGGAAAUCCGCACUUAGUUUCACUUACACUGGUUCAUUGUGAUGAAGAAAGAAGUGUUGCCAUGUAGCUUCACUUGAUGCUGAUAGCUGGGAAGAAGACACUAACUGCAGAUUACUUGGUCUUUUCUGAAGCAGUUUCCCUGUUUGAAAUAGAUGCGUUUUCUGUAUUGAGAAUGAUUUCUCUCAACAGAAGUUGUUCACUAACACAAUUGCUCUUCAUUAGUGAUUCAUUCCAUUUUUUUCUGAUCCCAGGCUGUUCUUUUAGGGUUCUUUUGUAUGCUGUGAAAAGAGUUCUGCUGGGCAAAAUGUAUGAAAUACAGCAAGUGCAAUUUGCAGUUUGCAUUCAGGGUGCGGAGUUCAUUAGAAGACUUCAAAACAAUCCACGGGGAAUAUCCAAAGCUGAAAAAGGAGUGAGAAGCCCAGAGCGGGACCUUGGAGCAGGAUGUGCAAGAGCAUCUAGGACUGGAUGAUGGUUGCUUAAUGACUGAUUUUGCAAUGAGUGUGCGUCAGUCACUAGAAGGCUUUCUAAAAUUCCGCUGCCUAAGGAGGACAACUAGGGCUCUCCAACAAAUGCAUUCCAUUUUUCUCCUCAAAGUGUUUUGAUGGUGUUGGAAAGCAUUGUUCAGGAUGCUUACAGCAUGCACUUACCGGCCUUGAAACUCAUUCCUUGAAGGAAAAAAAUAAUGUAGUGUCGAAUGUCAGUGUUGGUACUUAGCAGAAAAGACCGAAACAGGUCUGACUGGGACGACCAGCAUGCAGUUUCAUGGGCAGAGGUCUUUGGAAGUAAGCAGAGCUUGCUGAAAGCAGGACACCUGUGGUUAAACUGCAUUUUGAGAGCAGCUGGACGUUCAUGGCUCCAUCACCAGCUUUUUUACUGUUACUGGGCUCAACUGAGAUUUUGAAGUAAAGUCCCAGUUCUACUAAAUGAUGUAGAAAACGAAACCAUAACUGCAUCUAUUAGAGCAGAGGAUGGCAUGUUAAGCAAGGGAAUAAUAAACGCAUUUUAUAGCCAAGCCGAACUUGGCAAGCUUAGAAUCAAAAGGUCUGAGCCACGAGCUUUUAGUCGUUCAUACUGAGAUUUGGGAAAAACACCUACUUGUGCUACAUUAAAUGUAAUGAAUUAACAGCUAGUGGGGAACAAAACUGACAAAUGCUCACAAGACUUAUUUCUCUUGUCUGUUUUUACUUUACUUCUGGUCAUCAUGUGUCUGCCUUACAGGAGGUAGAAACUUGAGUACUGUAAUUGUUCAUAAAAGGCUGUGAUAUUUCCACACCAGAACUGUUAAUGUCUCUCUUACAACAUUAUAUCCGUAUUUAAACAGCUGCUUUUGGGGAGACAACUGUAGUGACAUACUUGUGAGAAAUGCUGAAAGUCCAGGGUCAAGAUAUACUUGGCCCCUGCCGUUUUCUCCCUAGAGCAUUACUGACAGAGUCCUUGUAGUUAUCUGUGGCAUGUACUUGCGUACUUCAGAUACAAUAGAAAUAGUUGCAGUAUCUAGUGCUAGAGUGUUAGAACAGUCAUGGAGUUAGGUAUUUCAUAGAAUCAUAGAAUGGAUUGGAAGGGACCUUAAAGAUCAUCCAGUUCCAACCCCCUGCCAUGGGCAGGGACACCUUCCACUAGACCAGGUUGCUCCAAGCCCCGUCCAACCUGGCCUUGAACACUGCCAGGGAUGGGGCAGCCACAACUUCUCUGGGCACCCUGUGCCAGCGCCUCAGCACCCUCAUAGUGGAGAACUUCUUUGUUGUAUCUGAUCUAAAUCUUCCCUCUGUCAGUUUAAAGCUAUUCCGCCUUGUCUUGUCACUACAGGCGCUUGUGAAAAGUCCCUCUCCAGGUUUCUUAUUGCAUGGGUCAUUUUAGCACCCCCAUCAGUCUGUGCAUCAAGAAAAGUUGCAAGCUACUACAUUAAGUUCUAAGUAUCACCACUUUUAGUAAGCUUGAUGUUAAAAAAAGCAGCACAGAAUUUCAGGGUGUAUUACAAUAAUUCACUUAAACAGCAUUUCCGUGAAGAACUGAGCUCCUGAAACACUAAGAUCCAAAAAGGCUGAUGGCAUGUUCUGUUCCUUUCUGGAACACAAAGAGUUGCUGCUGUGACUCUGAUGUGUCUGGAGCAUGGGGACAGUAAGAAGGUGCAUGUCAUCACUCAGGAUCACCCUGCGACCCGUGCAGCACUGGGACUACCUUACAUGUUAUUUUGCCAUUCCUAUUUAAUGUGACACCUACUGCCAUGGAGAAGGAUAUGGGAAAAAUACAUCUGUCAAAGCAAAUCUUGCACUCAUGGAAGUUUUCAGCACCUCACUGGCUACCUGUGUGUUUGUGUGUGUGAGUGAGGGGCUGGGGCCCAGGUUGUCCUUUUGUCUGUGGUUUAAGGGGAUGAAUGUUAAAUCCAAACUCUUUGAGGUGGUGGGUUUCAGUGACUUGAGGCCUGUUGCUCUCUCUUGGGGUGUACCUCUGGCAGUCUUGGCUCUGGACAGUGGGCUGGAAGCCUCUUAAUGCUUUAGUCCUUAGAGUUUGUCAGGGUAUUGAGUGCCGGGAAAUUCUUCCUUCCUUCCUUCCUUUCAGCACUGAGGCAUUAAGCUCUGCUGUUGACCUAUGGUACCUGCAGCAUCGUUUCUUGGUGUUGGUAAAUGGGAAUUGUGUCUUUUCCUGGUGCUUUCAAAUUUGUUUCUCUGUUUCUGAUUGUCCAACUUUGCCAAACUUCAAUUGUACAUAGGCUGAAACUUUUCAUCUUGGGCUUAAGGUUUAAGUCUCUGUGGGGAACUUCAGUCCUAACAGUGCACGUUCUUUUGAACCCAGGGUUAGAAUGUUGUGGCCUUUUGCCUAUGUUCAGAUUCUCAAAGCUGUUUCUUUGUAAUCAUUGGUCACUUCAGUGCUUUGGGACAGGAACUCUAAUUUGGGUAGAGGAAAUGACCUCUGUGUAGAGGAUGCCCCUUGUGUUUUGUUUUUACCUCUGCCUUCUAUUCUGAUUUGGCCAAAUACGUUAAUGUUUGUAAAAAAUGGAUAGCAUGUGCUCAGUAAAAGUGGUUUUGGUAUGUGUGUGUGUAUCUUUGUUUUAUACCAAAUAAAAUCUGCAUUGGUUUUAUCU